GAUAAACGCUGGCGGCGUGCCCAAUACAUGCAAGUCGAGCGAACGGACGAGAAGCUUGCUUCUCUGAUGUUAGCGGCGGACGGGUGAGUAACACGUGGAUAACCUACCUAUAAGACUGGGAUAACUUCGGGAAACCGGAGCUAAUACCGGAUAAUAUUUUGAACCGCAUGGUUCAAAAGUGAAAGACGGUCUUGCUGUCACUUAUAGAUGGAUCCGCGCUGCAUUAGCUAGUUGGUAAGGUAACGGCUUACCAAGGCAACGAUGCAUAGCCGACCUGAGAGGGUGAUCGGCCACACUGGAACUGAGACACGGUCCAGACUCCUACGGGAGGCAGCAGUAGGGAAUCUUCCGCAAUGGGCGAAAGCCUGACGGAGCAACGCCGCGUGAGUGAUGAAGGUCUUCGGAUCGUAAAACUCUGUUAUUAGGGAAGAACAUAUGUGUAAGUAACUGUGCACAUCUUGACGGUACCUAAUCAGAAAGCCACGGCUAACUACGUGCCAGCAGCCGCGGUAAUACGUAGGUGGCAAGCGUUAUCCGGAAUUAUUGGGCGUAAAGCGCGCGUAGGCGGUUUUUUAAGUCUGAUGUGAAAGCCCACGGCUCAACCGUGGAGGGUCAUUGGAAACUGGAAAACUUGAGUGCAGAAGAGGAAAGUGGAAUUCCAUGUGUAGCGGUGAAAUGCGCAGAGAUAUGGAGGAACACCAGUGGCGAAGGCGACUUUCUGGUCUGUAACUGACGCUGAUGUGCGAAAGCGUGGGGAUCAAACAGGAUUAGAUACCCUGGUAGUCCACGCCGUAAACGAUGAGUGCUAAGUGUUAGGGGGUUUCCGCCCCUUAGUGCUGCAGCUAACGCAUUAAGCACUCCGCCUGGGGAGUACGACCGCAAGGUUGAAACUCAAAGGAAUUGACGGGGACCCGCACAAGCGGUGGAGCAUGUGGUUUAAUUCGAAGCAACGCGAAGAACCUUACCAAAUCUUGACAUCCUUUGACAACUCUAGAGAUAGAGCCUUCCCCUUCGGGGGACAAAGUGACAGGUGGUGCAUGGUUGUCGUCAGCUCGUGUCGUGAGAUGUUGGGUUAAGUCCCGCAACGAGCGCAACCCUUAAGCUUAGUUGCCAUCAUUAAGUUGGGCACUCUAAGUUGACUGCCGGUGACAAACCGGAGGAAGGUGGGGAUGACGUCAAAUCAUCAUGCCCCUUAUGAUUUGGGCUACACACGUGCUACAAUGGACAAUACAAAGGGCAGCGAAACCGCGAGGUCAAGCAAAUCCCAUAAAGUUGUUCUCAGUUCGGAUUGUAGUCUGCAACUCGACUACAUGAAGCUGGAAUCGCUAGUAAUCGUAGAUCAGCAUGCUACGGUGAAUACGUUCCCGGGUCU
rnacentral:rRNA from 1 species